UUACUAUGAUGACCAUUUAGGACACCUUUGUAUUAACCAUGAAACGACUUUAAAAAUCUGAGCUAU